AGUUCUCAACCCUUCUUCAUUUUUUGAGGAAAGGCUUGGUUUUUGGAGGCUUUUGCCGGACUCUCUUUUGAUCGAGAUCGGCUCCUCUUAAACGGAUUAGCAGGAUCCCUUUUUCGCUGGUCCUCGACGUGAUAAGGCUUCUUCUACGUCUGGAACUCAGCUACGAGGCCUGCUUCUAAUCGUCUCUCGAGACCAGUCGGUCAGACCUCUCCCUCUGACCUGUGAACCCC
rnacentral:misc_RNA from 1 species